rnacentral:rRNA from 1 species
UAAGGAAUAUUGGUCAAUGGACGCAAGUCUGAACCAGCCAUGCCGCGUGAAGGAUGAAGGUCCUCUGGAUUGUAAACUUCUUUUAUAUGGGACGAAACCCUCGGAUUCCUCCGGGAUUGACGGUACCAUAGGAAUAAGCACCGGCUAACUCCGUGCCAGCAGCCGCGGUAAUACGGAGGGUGCAAGCGUUAUCCGGAUUCACUGGGUUUAAAGGGUGCGUAGGAGGGCAGGUAAGUCAGUGGUGAAAUCCCCAAGCUUAACUUGGGAACUGCCGUUGAUACUAUCUGUCUUGAAUACCGUGGAGGUGAGCGGAAUAUGUCAUGUAGCGGUGAAAUGCUUAGAUAUGACAUAGAACACCAAUUGCGAAGGCAGCUCGCUACACGAAUAUUGACUCUGAGGCACGAAAGCGUGGGGAUCAAACAGGAUUAGAUACCCUGGUACGUCCACGCCCUAAACGAUGGAUACUCGACAUACGCGAUACACAGUG